UACGAAGGGGGCUAGCGUUGUUCGGAAUUACUGGGCGUAAAGAGCAUGUAGGCGGCGCAAUCAGUCAGGGGUGAAAGCCCGGAGCUCAACUCCGGAAUUGCCUUUGAUACUGUUGUGCUUGAGUCAGGUAGAGGGUGGCGGAAUUUCCAGUGUAGAGGUGAAAUUCGUAGAUAUUGGAAAGAACACCAGUGGCGAAGGCGGCCACCUGGACCUGUACUGACGCUGAGAUGCGAAAGCGUGGGGAGCGAACAGG
rnacentral:rRNA from 1 species